GGGUUAACAACAAAAAUGGCGGCUCAGCCAGCACCAGAUAAGGAGGAACAGCCCCCCCCUCCGCGCCGCCGCCGCCACCGCCCCCCGCCCGCGCUGCGGCCCGGCCCGAAACGAAAAGACAAUUUACCCAUCACUGAGUCUCUGCUGUUUCCUCGCAUACAUUACCAUCAAUGCCCGGCCUGUGAGUAUGUGUCGGGGGAGGGGGAGAGCGGCCGCGAGAGGCGGGCGGGCAGGCGCGCAGGCGGCGGGCGGGCGGCAGCACCGGCACCAGGGCCCGACGCGCCCUCGGCGACUCUCAGCACCUCCCCGUUACUGGCGCCGGCGUUCCCGGGCCAUCUCCCUCCGCCGACACCACGUUCACUCUCAGCCCAGGCAGCCGCGCCAACUACACGGCGGCAGCGGCGAACGGGGGGAGGGGGGCAAGAAGACGCGUCCGGCUCUGCCCCGCGGAGAGCUACUGCCUCCUCCGCCUUCUCUUCCUCCUGCUCCUCCGUCUCCUCCCCUCCUCCCCCCGUCGCCGCCGCUGCCUGGUCCUUCGCCGCCACCUCCUGCCGCCGCCGCCGCCGCUGGUGCCGCCGCUGCCGCUCCACCAACUACAUCCGGGCAACUCGGACGCCGCGGCCUUCGGAAAACCUCGGCAGUUUCCGCCGCGCCCCUCCUCUCCCACCCUCUGCCUUCCUCCCCGCCCCGCGCGGCUCCGGAACGCCGCCUUCGGCAAACCUCGGCUCGGCCCGGCCUUCCUCUUCCUCUGAGGCCUGGCUCGGCCUCCUCGCGACCCGUCAGCUCUUUCCGGUUGUCGCUUCUUUUCCUCACGCCCAAGUCCGGCCGCUGCCGUUCCACUUUAAGGAUAGUCCCGUUCGGGGACCUGCUCGAGGCUGGUCCCGGAGGCUCCGGGGUGCGCGGGGUGGGAGCCGCCUUCGGGAGGAGGACGGUGGGGCGCGAGAGGAGCCAUCGCGGACUAAAUAAAGGAGGCUGCGGCUGCUGCGCGUGCGCCCGGAGGCGCGGGGGUGGGAGGGUGCCCUUGGGUGAGCUCUCCGGCCGCCCGCCCCCGCCCCUCGGGGCUCCGGCGGGGUGGUCGGAAACCCCGGGUUAGGCGGCUGGCGGGCGGUUACCAAGGCGCUUCCUCGGCCGGCAGCGACGGCAGCUGCGCUCGGAGAGGUGGGGAGCGCGCCGCUGCUCCGUGCGGCCCGCUGCCGGGAACCGGAGCCCGGGCCUGGGCACUUGCCUCAGACCGGCCGCCGAGUGCGCGGCCGGCCUUCGGGGGGCCGGGGCCGCCUGGAGCUCGCCCGUUAGAAGUAAGUCUUACCCCCAGAAGCGUGCGGGAGGGCGAGCUUGCCGAGCGAGGAAAGACGCAGCAGAUAAGGGGUGGCGUACCGAAUGCGGGAAGGCCGUGCGCGGCUUGAGGCGGGAGCGCCGCUCCGGGCGUCCCUCCAACUUGCUGAAGUCCUUUGGUGAAAGAGCGCUCGUUCCGUCGGAGGUUCUGCAUGUGAAUAAAGGCACCGGGUGUGCUACAUGAAGCUGAGACGAAUUGGAUUUUAUAGACUGCGGCAGGCACAAUGCCGACAUUGGGAAGGGGGAAAGUCAAGUAUAUCGCCCCAAAUUAAGCUUUACUGGAAGGGUGGCGGUUGAUACUCGGGUGGGGUUUCCCCCCCUGCUCUAAAUUCCUUAUAAGGCAGCACUAAUUUAACGAAAAGAUUGUAAUUAAGUAAAUAUAUAUUUGCAUAGAAGAAAAAGGUAAAAGAGGAAACAAGCCAGAGGAGAUCAGAUCCCACCAAAAACCAGUAUCAAAAAGUAACCGACUGACUUGGUAUCCCACAAGUUACGUUACUGCUGGGCCUAAUGAAGAGAAGGUAUGAUGUGGGGAAGAGGCCCUGAAAUCACAAUUGACAGAAAUGUUUAAGUAGCGUGGUUUGUCACAUCCACCUGCCAGAUGUUAGGAUAAUUGACUGCUGUUUUCGAGAACCAGUAAAAGCCUACUUAAUGCCCCCAUGGGCUAUCAGUAAUUAAAAAGACUGCCAAUGACUGAAAUGGGGAAAAAAUUAAAAACAUAGAGUUAUGUGCAA